rnacentral:lncRNA from 1 species
UCAAACUUUAUGGCUUAAAGGAACACAUUUGUCAUUUCCCAGGUUUGGAUAUGGCCCUUCCUAGUUCUCUGCUCAGGAGCUCACAGCCAGAAGCCAAGAUAAAAGCUGGACCAGUCACCUCCUUUGAGACUGUUGUCCUUUUUCAAGCUCAGUGGUGGUCAGCAGAAUUCAAGACAGAGGCCCUCAGCUCCAGAGACCCCACUGUCCUCUGAUGCGUGGCACUCUCCAGUGACUCUUCAUGGUGUGACACUCGGAUCCUUCAAGACUAGUGAAGAUCUCUCCUGUGCAUGCAGACAAGAUGGAAUCAUUUUGAGGGGAGGUGAUUGGAUGAGGUGUAUCACUCAGGGUGGGCGUGGAGGACCAUUUUAGAAUUCUGCCACCUGUGUCUCUUGUGAGUUGAACCAGCUGAAGGCUCUCCUCGAUCUCUCAGGCUGCGGCUUGAUCUGGAUGUCAGCAAGUUGAAACUGUAGCACGCCCGUCUUUUCUGAUCCAAGUGAAUAUCAGUGGGCAAGAGGCAGAGAACAGGAAGUCAAGACAUCACUGUGUUGCUGCUGGCAGCAGCAGGUUAUGGACCCCAUCCUGUGAUGUGUCAAAUGCGUGUGACUCCCCUCAGACCCUCUUGACGUUUGUCUGCACACCCAGGUGGGUGCGUUUGGAUUCCUCCAGGUGGCAGUGGCUGCCCUGGAGUCACUUCUGCAGGAAGGAGGCUCACCCUGGAAUAGCUGAUCUACAUUUCCGUAGGAUCAAUGCUGUGGAGACUGCAUACACUGUUUUUCCACCUUUGCACCAGCAAUGUUGGGGGCUGUUGCCAAAUAACGAAAAGCCUGAUGGUGGUGCCAGAUAG